AGGAUUAACGCUGGCGGCGUGCAUGAAACAUGCAAGUCGAGCGCGGUGUGAUGAGGGGUAACCCAAUUCACAUCUAGCGGCGAACGGGUGAGUAACACGUGAGCAACCUACCUUUGAGUUGGGGAUAGCCCUGGGAAACCAGGAUUAAUACCCGAUGUGGUCACAACAGGACAUCCUGAUGUGAGUAAAGGCGUAAGCCGCUCAAUGACGGGCUCGCGGCCUAUUAGCUUGUUGGUGGGGUAACGGCCUACCAAGGCGAUGAUGGGUAGCUGGUCUGAGAGGACGAUCAGCCACACUGGGACUGAGACACGGCCCAGACUCCUACGGGAGGCAGCAGUUAGGAAUUUUCCGCAAUGGGCGAAAGCCUGACGGAGCAACGCCGCGUGAGGGAUGACGGCCUUCGGGUUGUAAACCUCUUUCGACCGGGACGAAGCGUGAGUGACGGUACCGGUAGAAGAAGCACCGGCUAACUACGUGCCAGCAGCCGCGGUAA
rnacentral:rRNA from 1 species